AUUCGCAGUAGCCGAAUGGCAUUCGAGGUCGAUCGCGCCGAUUGUUUUUUCGGUUUCAUUCCGCCAUUUUGUGCCGACUGUUUAUGGCGUUGCUGAAGUGAAAUAGUGAUCAUAAGAAAUAGUUAUUCCUUGUGUUAAGGGAUAUCAUAAUGUCGCGUUACGGCUCAGAGUGUAAGCUGUACGUCGGCGACCUGGGAAAUAAUGCAAGUAAACAAGAAUUGGAAGAUGCUUUCGGAUAUUACGGACCCCUUCGCAAUGUUUGGGUGGCACGAAAUCCUCCAGGCUUUGCUUUCGUAGAGUUCGAAGAUCCUAGAGAUGCUGAGGAUGCUGUACGCGGCUUAGACGGAAGAACGAUAUGUGGUAGAAGAGCCCGCGUCGAAAUGUCCAAUGGCAAAGGAAAUCGAGGAUAUGGAAGAGGACCUCCACCUAGAAGCGGCUCAACAAGAGGACGACCAUUCCAUCCAGAUGACAGAUGCUAUGAAUGUGGCGAUCGUGGACAUUAUGCCCGUGAUUGUAACAGGCAUGGCAGACGAGGAGGAGGAGGACGCCGAAGGUUUUUAUCCAUCGCUAUGAUUCUGGUAUCGAUUCUACUAGUCCUACUAGCUUCUUCGCUCAUAUCUGAAAGUGCUCCAUUUUUCCUCAAAAUUUUUGCUACAAGAGUUGGUCUCGGUUGGCAAUCUACCACUGCAAUCACUUGUUUCUCCAUCUCCACGGUUGUUCCAAUCGCCACUGGCAUGUCUGCAAUACGUCGAGCUAACACACAUAGAAACGAAUUUGUACCUUAAAUUGUCUACCUACAAACUACAUGCUAGAUGCCUGAAAAGCUUGGUAAUGAUGCCUGAGUUUCAUCAGUUACAUCAAUGUUUCUUCACUCGAGACUGAGAAACUAUAUCUGCUAUGAUACACCUCCUUGCGUUGCACGACACUUGUCUUCUGCGUCUGAUAAAGUCUCAGUUAAGAAUUCACACUUCACAGGUGUUAUUGAAUAGUCUAGGUCUCGUUCCCGAUCAAGAAGCCGCUCACGGGAUCGCCGUUCUCGUUCUAGGAGUAUGUCAAGAUCCAGAAGCAGGUCUCGUGGAAGAAGCCGUUCGCGAAGCAAGUCUGCCCGUCGCAGUCGAUCUCCAAG